rnacentral:rRNA from 1 species
AAAGUGAAGCCGUAGGGAAACCAAGUCUCAAUAGGGCGUUUAGUUGUAUGUCGUAGACCCGAAACCGGGUGACCUACCCAUGAGCAGAGCGAAACGAAAGUAAAAUUUCGUGGAGGCUCGAACCGUUUAGUGUUGAAAAACUAUCGGAUGACUUGUGGGUAGCGGUGAAAUUCCAAUCGAACCCGGAUAUAGCUGGUUCUCCUCGAAAUAGCUUUAGGGCUAGCCUCAAGAUAGUGACGUGGAGGUAGAGCACUGAAUGGUCUAGGGGCACUUAGUGCUACCAAAACCUAUCAAACUCCGAAUGCCACAGUCAUGUUUCUUGGGAGUCAGACUGCGGGAGAUAAGUUUCGUAGUCGAGAGGGAAAGAGCCCAGACCACCAACUAAGGUCCCUAAAUCCAGAUUAAGUGGGAAAGGAUGUAAAGUUACACAGACAACCAGGAUGUUGGCUUAGAAGCAGCCAUUCAUUUAAAGAGUGCGUAAUAGCUCACUGGUCGAGUGGCUUUGCGCCGAAGAUUUCCGGGGCUAAAAUCUGGUACCGAAGUUGUGGAUUCGUAAGAAUGGUAGAGGAGCAUUCUGUACGGGCUGAAGCUACACCGUAAGGAGUGGUGGACUGUACAGAAGAGAGAAUGCUGGCAUGAGUAGCGAUAAGGCGAGUGAGAAUCUCGCCCGUCGAAAGCCUAAGGUUUCCUGAGGAAGGCUCGUCCUCUCAGGGUUAGUCGGGACCUAAGCCCAGGCCAAAUGGCGUAGGCGAUGGACAACAGGUUGAGAUUCCUGUACUGUUUACAUGCGUUUGAGAGAUGGGGUGACGCAGGAGGAUAGGCUAUACGUACUGUUGGUUAUGUACGUCCAAUCCUGUAGAGAGCUCCUAUAGGCAAAUCCG